rnacentral:lncRNA from 1 species
UACACAUUUUUACAUAAUAGCAGUGAAGGGCUGUCCCUUUGUCUACCUGAGGAACUGUAUAUUUUGUCCGCUUUCAUUGUCUGUCAUGUUCAUAGUGUAGUCUGAUCUAUGUACAUAAUGCAUGCAGUACAUACCUGCGAAGUUCGUUCGUGAGCUGAGCCUGGGCCUGCCUGUGAUUUGAAUUGGAUUGGGGAACUCAUUGGCAUCAGUCCUGGGGGUCCAGUAAAGAGUGGAGGAAAGAAGAAGAAGAAAUCGGCCGUGUCUCCAAAGAUAAUUGCCCUCCUUCGUGGAAUCGUAGAGUUCGAAUCUGACUGGAAAACAGAGUAGCAGACAUCCAGCUCUCAUUUUUUAUGCUUCUGUCAAUUUGUUUUGAGAUGUGCUUUAUUAUGCACGAUUUUUAUUGUGACGAAUACAUGGAUGAGACAAUGUGAUGUAAGAAACCUGUAAAUUUCUAUUAUUUGUGCCUCAUCUUGAAAGCCUUUUCUCAACAUCCCCAACAUAAUGCAAAUAAAAUAUAUAUAAGUAUUAGUAUAGUAUAGGAUGUAUGCAUCCAGAUGUGAAAGGCUUUGAUUUUUGGAAAGAGCCAAGAUAGUCCUUGCCAAGGAACAAAGUGAGUUUUUUAGAUUUUGUUGGUAAUGUAAGAAAACCUCAGCAGGUCCUAUUUAUAAUUUUAUACCUAUAUAAUUUGUAUAUUUGUUCUUUUGAAGGUUGUUUAUAGUGUUUUCUUGAUGAUAUAUGCUACAGUAUGCAAACAUUAUACCAUGUUGGUGUUUACCCUGGUCAACUUUAUAUACAGGGUGUCCCAUGAACAAUGCCUGACACACUUCUGAUAGCACACAGAUCAACUUAUUAAUACCAUUGGUAAGAGCAACAUUUCCUUAAGGCCCUGUCACAUUAGGCUUGCAUGUGACUUGCAAGGAAAUUUGUUUUGCUACCCAGGGGUCUGCGAUACUGCGAUACAACAAUAUUACAUUUUGAAAUAGUUGAGAAGAGGAUCGGUUGAAAAAUACAAAUUUUUGAGGUGCUGAGUAUGUACUAAUUUGUGUUUUCAAAGGUUGGCAGCUAUGCUAUGUACAUCAUCUUCAUCUUUUAUUGGAAACAUGUACAUAUUUUUCAUUGAGGCAAGUGGGUAUUUUGAGAACAAAAAUAGACAUUUGUAUGCUGUUUAGGAAAAUAAUGUACAUUAUGCCAUCUUCAAUCAUGAGAACUGAUGGCCAUAUUAAUUUGAUAUUCUUGGCCCGAACUCACAAAGGAGGCUUAAAGGAGAAUAAAAGUUAGACAGUCACAUGAUUUCAGUGAAUGGAGAAGAACAACAAGACUUAACAGUAAAAGUUUGAGCAAAUUUGGAUAAUCCGUUUUCAAGUUAUGUAUUUUUGAAGUUUUAGAAAAUCCUUAUUAUGGACUUCCUUAAGUUGGCAACUUCGCCAGAAUUUGUGAUGUCAUUGUGCUCAACUCUCCAUUGGUUAUGUACAGAGAGUUUCACUUUUUUCUAAUUUUCAUCAAAAAUAAUAUUUCCGCCAGUGUAUUUUGUUUUUGUAUGACAUGGCUACAUCAAUUCUGCAGUAUGUCUGAAAGAAUCAAUACAAUUGCCCUUUUAAUAUUUUAUAAAAAUAAAAUGUUGUGAAACUCUCUGUACAUAACCAAUGGAGAGUUGAGCACAAUGACAUCACAAAUUCUAGCGGAAUUGCCAACUUAAGGAAGUCCAUAAUAAGGAUUUUUUAAAACUUCAAAAAUCCAUAACCCAAAAAAGGAUUAUCCAAAUUUGCUCAAACUUUUACUGUUAAGUCUCAUUGGUAUUCUCCAUUCACUGAAAUCAUGUAAAUGUCUGACUUUCAUUCUCCUUUAAACUCUGUGGGGGGUUAAAUCAUGGUCUAUGUAGAUUUUGUGUAUAAUUUGCGCUUAAUUUAGCGUGUAUGCUGAGAAAGGUCCAAUAUGAAGGCACGCUGUAUGGCAAAGGGCGCUCAAUUCAUGCUUGUUGCUAUGAUUUUAAACCAUAGCUUUAAACCAUGGCAAAAAUCAUGAAUUUCUAGUACUUUGCCAAAAGCGUGCAUUUAUACUGGAUCUUUGUCAGCUAAUCAUACACAAAAUCUGCAUAAACCAUGGUCUAAACUUAAACUUCCUUUGUGAAUUCCGACCAUUGAGUGUGUGACCCUCAAAUCGAGCAGAAUUGCAUCAAAAUAUCAUCAGGUUAGAUUUAGUGUGCAUUUUGUUUACAUUUUCUAUGUUACAAUGGACAUGUUUGAAAUAGACCCCCCCCCCCCGGCACAGUUUUAGCAUUGUUAUAGCACAUCUGAAAGAGCACCUCAAAGUGGUCUUAGGGAUCCCGUUAGAAUUUGGUUUAGAUGGUUGAUUGGAAGGCUUCUCUUCUACCCAACCAGAAGAGCGACAUGUUAUGAUCCUUGGACUGUGAUUUGUAUUUUUCUGCACUUCACACUAUUUGCAAUAUGAUAUCUGAUCAUGCCAAUCAUUUAUUUUUUUAGAAAUUUGUUAAAUUAUGUUUUGUAUGUGUUUAAAUAUGCCAAUCACAUACAAGUCAUGUGUUGCAGUAGGUUCUAUGCCUCCAGAUUUUAAAGGUUUUCAUUAUUGGUUUGAGCCAAAAUAAUCUUUGUAAAGGAAUGAAGAAUGCAGGUGCCCUUUUCUUUAGGCAUCUAUACAGGGUGAGUCAGAAAAAAAAAGUCCACUUUCAAAAAUCUAUAUAAUCUCUAAUGUAUGUUAUUCUUCAAAGACUGUGGUAUGUCCUAAAAGAGUAUCUUCCUCUUUUAUUUGGUAUAAAUUUUAUCAGGUUUAUAGCAUGAAUGUCAUGCUUGUCUAUACAGGAGGCCCUUUUUUUUGAGAGAGAGAGAGGAAAUAAAAUUUCACCUGCGCCAGAAGUGGUGGCAUGUCGAUCAUGAAUUAGCAAUAAAUGAUAUACCUCGGUUAAACAUGACUCUUUACGAUUUCAUAUCAUGGGGGGGGGGGGCACCCCGUAGGCUAUAUAGUUUUUUGUUACAUUUUAUAUCUUUGUUACUCACUGAAGUUUGCUUUUAUUGUUUUCUUGUUGAUUAAGCUCCUUGCAGAUCAGUAUUUACAUGUUUGUAAUUGGUAAUGAUAAAUGAACCCUUUUAAAACUACAAAAUGUUGCAGUUGUUUGUUAGGCCAUAUAGUUUUUGUUACAUUUGAUAUAUUUGCUACUUACUGAAGUUUGCUUUUAUUGUUUUACUGUUGAUUAAGCUCCUUGCAGAUCAGUAUUUACAUGUUUGUAAUUGGUAAUGAUAAAUAAACCCUUGAAAAACUACAAAA